rnacentral:rRNA from 1 species
AAAAAAAAAAUCGGAAUCUACUUUUUCGUGGGGGAUAACGUAGGGAAACUUACGCUAAUACCGCAUACGACCUACGGGUGAAAGCAGUGGAUCUUCGGACCUUUCGCGAUUGAAUGAGCCGAUGUCGGAUUAGCUAGUUGGCGGGGUAAAGGCCCACCAAGGCGACGAUCCGUAGCUGGUCUGAGAGGCUGAUCAGCAACACUGGAACUGAGACACGGUCUAGAGUACUAAGGGAGGCAGCAGUGGGGAAUAUUGGACAAUGGGCGAAAGCCUGAUCAAGCAAUACCGCGUGGUUUAUUUAGUUUUUCGGGUUUGCGACCCCCUCCGUGAUCUACACUCGUU